UGAGGGUUGAUAGGUUAAGAGCUGAUUGACUGGACGUUACCCACAGAAGAAGCACCGGCUAACUCCGUGCCAGCAGCCGCGGUAAUACGAGGGUGCGAGCGUUAAUCGAAUUACUGGGCGUAAAGAGUGCGUAGGUGGUUAAUUAAGUUAUGUGUAAAAUCCCUGGGCUCAACCUGGGCAGGUCAUAUAAUACUGAUUGACUCGAGUAUGGGAGAGGGUAGUGAAUUUCCGGUGUAGCGGUGAAAUGCGUAGAGAUCGAAGGAACACCAGUGGCGAAGGCGGCUACCUGGCCUAAUACUGACACUGAGGCACGAAAGCGUGGGGAGCAAACAGGAUUAGAUACCCUGGUAGUCCACGCCGUAAACGAUGUCAACUAGCUGUUGGUUAUAUAAAAAUAAUUAGUGGCGCAGCAAACGCGAUAAGUUGAC
rnacentral:rRNA from 1 species